rnacentral:rRNA from 1 species
UACGGAGGGGGCUAGCGUUGUUCGGAAUUACUGGGCGUAAAGCGCACGUAGGCGGCUUUGUAAGUUAGAGGUGAAAGCCCGGGGCUCAACUCCGGAAUUGCCUUUAAGACUGCAUCGCUAGAAUUGUGGAGAGGUAAGUGGAAUUCCGAGUGUAGAGGUGAAAUUCGUAGAUAUUCGGAAGAACACCGAUAGCGAAGGCAGCUCGCUGGGACGGUACUGACGCUAAGGCGCGAAAGCGUGGGGAGCGAACAGG